rnacentral:tRNA from 1 species
GUAAUAGUAAUUUAAUGGUUAAAAUGACUCACUGUUAAUGAGUUAAUAUUGGUUCGAUUCCUUUCUAUUACG